CUACAAUAUCUCAAACAUUUACUAAAGAAAAUCCAUACGAAAAUGUCAUUAUAUCAUAUAAUUUAAGUUUUUUCAAUUAUACUGAGAGUGGCAAAAAAAAAAUUAUGAAAAACUUGAUGUCAUGGCCAGAAUAUAAAACACGCUACUUCAUUAAGGUGUAUGAAGAGUUACAACGCCAGGAUAAAUCUGAGGAAUACUGGACUAAAACAAAGUGGUGCAGGAAAUAUUACAAUCCGGAACCGAUUCAAGAUAGCACACCUGUAACCAAUUGACCUCUUUUAUAAGAAAUAAAAAACUAGUUAGUUUUAUAGAAAUGUUAUUUAAUUUAAUACGAUCUUUCACUAUAUUUUAAAAAUGUAUAAUAUUUACAAAAACCAAGAAACUUAUGCUAUAUACUAAUAUUAUAUUACAAGUGUGAAUCAGUCCAUUUAAAUUAUUAUUUUAUUUUAUUUAAAAUUGUUGUUUAGAAUAGGUACACGUACAUAUUAUAAAGUAUGAAAAUGUAUUAACAUUAAUGUAUAGGAUAAUAACUUUUAUGAAUUUACAAAAAAUAUACUGGUGUGUAACAUAUUAA